rnacentral:tRNA from 1 species
GCCGAAGUGGCGGAAUCGGUAGACGCAGCGGACUUAAAAUCCGCUGGGAGAUUUCCCGUGGGGGUUCGAGUCCCCCCUUCGGCA